rnacentral:rRNA from 1 species
UACGGGGGGGGCGAGCGUUGUUCGGAAUUACUGGGCGUAAAGGGUUUGUAGGUGGCCAACUAAGUCAGACGUGAAAUCCCUCAGCUUAACUGGGGAACUGCGUCUGAUACUGGUUGGCUUGAGUGCAGGAGAGGAACGCGGAAUUCCAGGUGUAGCGGUGAAAUGCGUAGAUAUCUGGAGGAACACCGGUGGCGAAGGCGGCGUUCUGGACUGCAACUGACACUGAGAAACGAAAGCCAGGGUAGCAAACGGG